CGGGGAUGAAACGUUUGCCGCCGAAUACGUCACUCCCAUUUCUUGCGAGAUGGUCUGACUGCUUCAUUUUCUCUGGCGGUUGCUUCGGUCUAAUGGACCGCGGUCGUCCGGCGGCAAGACGCUUUUAAAUACAAGGCUACUCUCAAAAUCGACCGGCCAUGUUGGUUUGGACACACAUUCGCAUCAGUUCGUCGCUCAAUCGCGAGUUACAGCCUGCAGUUUGCUAGCUAGCAAAGUCAUCGACUACCAUCGUUUAAAUACCUUAACCGGUUAUGCUCUGGCCAUCUUCACCCAAGAGACCUACUGUUGGUCAAUUGUUUUGGCUUUAAAGGUAAAUGCAUUGUUAGUCACACUGUCUAGUCACUGGGCCAAAAGGAAAAUAAUAUUGAAAAGAGUUGAGAGGGACAAACAGGACAUUCACUUGAAUCACUACAUGCUACAGAAGUUGCAUCGAUUCCAGAAAACCAGGAAAAUGUUGAGCCAUCUGUAGACUUCAGAGCUGAACCAGGUUUCUCCCCAGUAAUCCAGACUCCACUUCACAGAGCCAAGAGUUUGAGUACAAGGCACUUGACUUUCUGGAUAAAAGGUGUCGAGCUCGUCAAGUACUAAGCUUUACACCACCAGCAGCAAAUUUACACUGGCAGCAUAUGGGUGAAAACGCUGGAUGCAUAUUUCCAGAGACUCCAGAAUGAAAACCAAGCCCUGAGGGAAUGCAAUGCACAAGCAGCUUCGGAUGACAGCGGCUCACUUCAAGAGCAAGUGAAGCAAGUAGGGACAAUGUUGAAGACGUUUGCUCUCACUGGGCAAUCAGGUGCGUUACCUAAAAGGAGCAUCGGACCGUGAAGGCAGAAAAAGGCGCCGCACAGCUGAGAAGGACCCACAGCCGACCCCUAAACCUAGGCUACUGACACCCCAGCAUCACUGAACUGGAACACUUUCUUUAUCCUGCAGUCAGUAACAUCAAGAAGCCAGAAGUGCCAGACUACACUCACCAAAUCCACCCUGUUUUUUUUGGUAUUUUAACUUUAGUAUUGGCUUAUUUCAUUCCGUCUUAACGAUUCUAUUAUAGUUUGUAAAUCCUUUUUCAUACCUGUUACUUGAUAUUGCACAUUAACUAGUACCAAAAUUCUACUUUCAUUUCAUCAGUGUGCUUAACUGUUAUUCUAUUAAUAAUAGCUUGGAAAUACUAUUUCAUACCUCUGAUACUUGAUAUUGCACAUUACCUGGUACCAAAUAUUCUACUUACUCUGUUUUUAACAUCAGCAUUUUUCAUUCCGUCACAGUGCUUAACUGUUAUUCUAUUGUUAAAUAUAGCUUGUAAAUCCUUGUGCCACAGGUCAGCAUUGCAUUUAUAAUGGUCUGUUCUACUACUGUUUUUACCUCCGUAUUUUUAUAUAAAUAUAUAUGUCAAGUUUUGUUUAUCACAGAUACAAGAGACAGAUCUUAUUGCAGCACGGUGUAAAUCUUGUGCUACAGGUCAGCAAUGCCAUUAUAAUGGUAUAUUCUACUCUAGAGCUUUACUCUAAAUUAUUACCACUUUUCCUAUUGUUAGAAAUGGCUUGAAAAUGUGAUGUUAUACCUCGAUUUAUUUGGUAUCCUGCAUGUUCUUUGGUACCAAAUAUCCUCAUUACUUGUUAUGUUUACUGGUAAUUAUUUUCAUCCCAGAGCUGACCUUUUUAUAUUAUUAACAAUUAUUGUGUUUGUGUUAUAAUUUGCUCGUAUUGCUGUUUUUUUUUAACCAAAAUUUAAUUGGAAACCUGCAUGUUCUGUAGUGUGUAUUUAUAUGUAUAUUUUUUUCUGCCUGUUAUUUAUUUCAGUGAUCUGACACAUCUUGUUUGAAUGACAGUUACUGUACUUUGAAAUGUGGAAUUAAAACACC
ensembl:lncRNA